AAAGGGCUGACUUGGAAAUCGUGGUUCAUUUUUACCUUUGUCCCUUGGCUUUCUUUUAUGGUCCUUUUUGAGUGAUCCUCAGCUCGACACAGAGAAUUUCCUUCCCUGAAGAUCUUCAUUGAUCCCUGCGUCAGAGAGCCGACUCCCACCAAACACUGCACUGCACAACAAAUCACUCUGCUAACUGAAGAAAGAGAAAUAUGAAGCUCUCCAUUUUCUUGCUGGUGGUGUUCUCUGUCACUGUGCUCUGUGUGGAUUAUGAACAUGUUAAGAAGUUCAAAAAUCAGCGUAUCAUCGAACCAGACACAAAAAUAUCGUCCGUUUCUUCUAGCAGAUCAGCACAAGAAAGUGAUAACAAACGUGUUGAAAAGUUCAAAAAACAGCAUAUCAUCGAACCAGUCACAGAAGAGUCAUGUGAUGAACUAAUAGGCGAGAGGAACAUCACACGUAAACCAAAAAACACCUUCAUCUUGAGCACUUUUGAAAAGGUUAAAGAUAUUUGUACAGAACAACA